rnacentral:rRNA from 1 species
CUUGACUGUAGCCUGGAAUUGGGUUCGGGCUUUUCUUGCGCAGCCUAGGUGGGAGGCUAUGAAGAUUUCCUUCCGGGGAAGUUGGAGCCAACAGUGAGAGACCACUCUGGAAAGGCUAGAAUCCUCAUGGUGAUCCUUGAAUCAGGACACUUGACAGUUUCAGGCGGGCAGUUUCUCUGGGGCGGAGACCUCAUAAAAGGUAACUGAGGUGCGCAAAGGUUCCCUCAGUCUGGACGGAAAUCAGACAUUGAGUGUAAAGGCAAAAGGGGGCUUGACUGCAAGACCUACAAGUCGAGCAGGAGCGAAAGCUGGCCUUAGUGAUCCGACGGUGCCGUGUGGAAGGGCCGUCGCUCAACGAAUAAAAGUUA